rnacentral:rRNA from 1 species
UGCUCAAGCCCGAAUGCCUAUGAUCUAACCAAGUAAAGGCUCUUAUUAGGCCGAAACGGGGAGUUAUUCGAAACUGUCGUUUUAUACUUGGUUGGUGGCUAAAUGUCAAUCGUAUAGGCUAAUAUCUGGUUAUGUUCGAAAUAUCUAUAGCAAUAG